rnacentral:lncRNA from 1 species
CAGUGAGAAAUGAAGAGUGUAGGGGAGCGGCUAAACACUAGUACCAAAACACUAGACACAUGACAAUAUCUGAGGAAUAAGUGCUGAAAUUAAAAUAUUUGUAAGAUAAUUAGUAGAUACCGAAAGAUUCUGUGUGUGUAGAUAGAGGUAGGGGUGCCCGCGGGUCGGGUUGGGCGGAUUAUAGGUUAAACCCUAACCCAACCCAUUUAGUUCGGUUUUUUUAAUUUCCAACCCAACUAAAGAUCGGUUUAAAUUUCAUCGGGUUGGGUCGGUUAGAAUUUAUUUCGGUUUGGGUCGGUUUGGGUUGGGUAGAAUAGGUUAUUAGAAAAUGAGUGUGAGGUAAGGUCACUUAGUUUUGUAAUUUCACGAUUUUUUCGAGAUAAGGUGAGCUCAUUAUCGAGUUUAUUUGCCAAUAGCUUAGUUCUUAUUAAGCGGAACUCAUGAUUCGUUCAAAUUAGAAAUUGUUUCACGCGUUUAUUAUAAAUUUAAGUAAUAUGUAAUAUAUUUUUAGUUUAGAUAGAAAGGCACCUAAAAUUGUUUCAGUAAAAACAAAUAAAAUAUAUGAAAAUUAAAUAAAAUAUGCGGGUCGGGUUAGAAUGGGCGGGUUAUAGGCAAAACCCUAAACCAACCCAUUUAAAUCGGUUUUAAUAAUUUUCAACCCAAUCAAAAUUCGGGUUAAAUAUUUUCGGGUUGGUUUAGAGUCGGGUUGGGUCGGUUAGAUCGGUUUGGGCGGGUUUUGAUAACCCAUGGGCACCCCUAGAUAGAGGAGUGAAUAGCAGAGAUGGGGGGUUUUGAUGGAUUGGGGAAAGAGGGAAGGUUUUUGUUCUUUUCGCUGC